rnacentral:misc_RNA from 1 species
AAAAUCUCAUCAAUUCCAACAACAACAAUUCAUUUUCCCAAUAACCAACCUUUUCUUUCCAUUGUAAGUAUCAAUCGUUCUUUUGAUAUGAUUGGACACAAAUUAAAACGUCUGCUUCAUAAUCUUAUAACAGCAUGACAUUCAUAAAAUAUAUAUCUCUGCUUUCACAAUCAACUAAACCACAGAUGUGAAGGCAGUCUGCUGAAUAUUCACAUUUCAAUUGCCCCUCAUUACAGAAAGCCUACCUCUAAUAGCAAACCAUACAAAGGACCAAUAUUUUGGAAUGGAAAUAGGAUACCACAUGACCUUGAUGUUUGAACCAACCAACCUACUCUAGGUAUUUGGUUUUGAUUGCCCUUCCAAGAUUCUGCAGAUGCAAAAUUUCCAGAAGGUGAAGGAAUCCAACCAAGUCUACACUUAGGCAUAUCAAGACACAUCAGCUUGAAUCUCUCUAGUCUGAUUGCUUUCCAAUCCACUCCCCAUUCAAGAACAAAGAUAAUUCUGCAUCAAAUCCAACAGAAGCAUCAGUGAUAAUCCUAUUCUUCAAUAAAUAUGUUUAAGUAGAUUUUACACGAAUUAGAAUAAUAUAAAGCUACAUAAGACAAAUAUCUGCCACUCUACCCGUAGAAUUGACAGAAAAACACUGGAAAGAACACAAUUGACUAUUUUUAAAUUUUGCAUGAUAGGCAUUAUAAACAAUUUAAAGGUUCUGACGGUAAGUCGGGAAUAAUUACUAAUCCCUUUGCGCAUAAUACAACCAUCCUUGCACACUAUCUCUAGUUAUCUACAAAUGAGGAAUAUAAUUAUUGCAGCUAAAGCAGUAAAUCAGUUAAGAGGAACUACAGAAGUUAAGAGAGAACUCACCGGGAAGUAGGUGCAAAGCAACAAAUCCAAAGAGAACUCACUUGCUGAAAGUUGUUCCUUUUGCCCUUUUUGGGAAAAGGGGAGGAGAGCCAAUGGCUGAAAGUAUUUGAAACAUAAUUAUCAACAUGGUCAACUAACUAAGCUCUCCACAAAACAUGGCUGAAGCAUGACAACUAUCAUUGGUUUUUCUUCUUUUCCCAGAAAGGUUUUAAUUUCUCUUUUCCCCAUUUUGGGUUUGGGUGAUAGCCACUCAUCAAAUGAAGCCGCCCCAAAAAGGCCAUGACUGUCCUAUAAACAUAUAAAAUAUAUAGAACAGCAAGAGAAGGCUGGAAACAAAUAAUUGUUAUUGACUAUAUUCCAUGAAAAGAAAAAAAAAAUUUAUACAUGGAAAUUGCAGAUCUCAAAAAUUAGCAUUCACAUAAAUACACAAACUUCUUUGGGUUUGCACGUAUAAAGUAUAGGGGCAAUUCCUUUUAGCAUGGUCAAUUCAACCUAACACAACAUUCUAUGCACUGGAUAUAUUAUUGAACACUUCAUGGCUCUUCUAGUGUCAUGGCCUUCGGUUUUUCAAGUUUUGUACUGGAUACACUAUCGGUCAGCUCACGGCCCUUGGUUUCAAGAGGAAAGAAGGAGACACAGAUCCCUGAUAAAAAAACUACACCCACAAAAAGAAGAACUGCUGCAGCUUGAUGGCAACCUUGCACCAAGCUUACUGCCACAAGAGGGCAGAGCAUUCCACCAAUUCUUCCCAUUGAGCUUGCAGCUCCAACGCCUGUUGUCCUCACUGAAGUUGGGUAUAUCUACAUGAUUAAAAGAAAUAACGGUUAUUACCUGGCCCUAGCCAAGGUUCCUUUAAAUGGAUGAGCAUGCCAACCUGAGCAUACAAAAACGAAAGUUUUUAACUGCAUAUUUUAGCUUGAAAGUAUAAUUUAUAAAGGGAAAAGAAAGAGACAGACAGAGAAGGGGAAAGCAGAAAAAGUUUAACAAAAUGUAUGAAGGAGAGUUUGUCAUUUCAAUAUGACUUAUCUUCAACAGAAGAACUAUGGGGUUCAUAAGCAACUGCCAUAAAAUGUAAAAGCAUUGUGGAACUUGUAUGAACGAACGUAUUGUUACAUAGAAAAGAGGUUUGAUUUUCAAUAAGAAAUGUCUUACUUCUUUCAAUAAAUGAAGUGGGGCUAUUAUUGGCAAUAUAAUCCACAAGAUGAUAUAAUCUGAGUUUUAUUAGAACUUCAUCUUUUUGUCAAGGAGCCUUAAAAUUCUAUCCUUUUAAAUCCAGUCAUUACAUAGUUAGAGACAUGAUAUAUAUCAAUAUAUGUGUACAUGCACACACAAAGCAUGCGCCUCAUUAUCUAGUUUUCUAAAAGAUGAGAUUCCUAAUAACCAACCAUGUUUGACCUCAGAUCAGAUCACAAAAUAGUAAAUAUCAUAACAAAGCUUAGUUGAAAAAAAUAAUAAAUCUAUAAAUGAUAUGGCUUCUAAGAAAGUAUCAAGAAACUGAGAUUCAGUUCAUUCAGUGAACUUUACCAUGCAGAUAAACAAAUAUAAUUUGCACUUGUUUUAUAUAGUUUCUUGUUUAUGAAAUACUAACAAAAAAAGUACAAUUAAUAAUUGGCUGGAGUGAAAAUUCAGCUCCUUGAUUUACCUCUGGUGCAUAAAUAUAGACAACUGUGAAGGUUUCUGUGAUACAUAUUCGAGCUCCAAAGAGAAGGACUGUUGUCAGAGCUCCAGACUGGUGGACCACCAGUGGUAGCAGGAAUAUGCAACAGAUGAAGAACAUAACCACCAUUGAAAGUUUACGGCCAAAUCUAUCAACUGUGAGAGCUGACAAGAUGAGCCCCGGAAGCUCUUCAAGCAAAUUAACGUUAGAUGUUAAUCAGCUGCUUCUGAGAGAGUACAAAAAUCACCUUUAUUAUGCAAAUAAUCAUUAUUUUAUUUACUACACAAUCUUACCUGCAAAACUAGUGAUGAAAACAUCUUUGUAGUUAACACUCCCGGACUUUUGUGACUGCAUUUCAUUUGGAUUGCAUUUAUUGUUCCCAUUGUUCAACUCAGUGGUCAGCAACACAAGGCCAUAGUAUGAAAAUGCAUUCCCAAAAAAUACAACCCAUAAGAGCAAGGUUGACCUAAUUAAUUUUGGUGACAGAAGCAUUAACAGAGAUCUGAAGGCCCCCAAGUCAGAGUCCUUCCACCUAGGAGGAGGAGGAGGGAUAAUAACAUCAUCAUCAUCUCUAUGUCCAUCCCCUGGUGGGAGUCUCCUCUCUUGUAGCUCAAUUUCAUGGUCAGUAACAAGAACACCAGGGGGCAAUUCUUUUCCAUUUAGUUUGCUUAUUUUCUCUAAAAUCCUAAGGGCAUCAUUUUUUCUACCUUUCAAGCAUAAAUACCUUGGUGACUCAGGUGUCAGACUAUAAAAUAUAAAGAGAAGCAAUGAAGGCAAAGCAGACAACGCAAGUAACCACCUCCAUCCCAAUCUCGGCAUGAUAAUCUGCAUGGACAUAGCAUGAGGAUGAGGAAAUUUCAUUGCAUGUAUAGUGCAUCUUACUAUGAUGAUCCUACAAAACAAAAAACAAUCAGCUUGGACUAAACUUGAAAAGUGAAUGAUUUGACCAAACUUUGAAAAAUAUUAUGUUUUUCUACAAUUAAAACUUGCAGCGCAACAACUAAAUUAGUCUCAAGUUAUCCAAAGCAUUCCAUGCAGGCCACUGUGAAUUGCUAGUUAAUGUUGUCAAACUUUGUAGACUAAGUACCAAAUUUAUUACUGUACACCAAUAUUUAAAAAACACUCAAAAUCCCUGAGGUUAUGAUUGGAUAGGUGAGAAUUUGAAAUGGAGGGGGAUUUGAAUUUGAUGUGAGUUUAUUGUCAACCAUAUAUAGAUUUACUUUGGUUGUGUAGAUUUACUCAAUGGAGAUUAAGUCUAAGAAUGUGGAUGAAGAAUUGUUUGAUGAUGAAUUCGAGACAACUACCAAAUGGGUGUAAUUUAAAUACAUUCUCUAAUAUUUGUAGAAACACAUUUCAAAUUUCAUAUCUAUGACCUGACAGAUUUCGGAGAUUUUUCCCACAUAUGUAUCAACAACUUGUUAUCUCAGGUAUAACUCACAUCACUUAUGAAAAUAAAUGAGAACUGAUGCAAGGAGUUCAAUGAAGAACGUAAGCAACCAACAAUGACAGAAACAACAACAAUUAAUUCUAGAAGAAGAGGAAUUGACACAUAGCCAUAAGCCACGGCAAGGGAAUACAACAAUUUUUAUUGACUUCCGAAACACAAAGGAAAAUGCCCUAAAUUAUAGGGUCCCCGUAUUUUCAUCCACUCUAUAAUUAACAUAAGAAACAGUUAAAUAAAAUGCAUCAGAUACUUUACCUACUGCUCUGAAAGGCUAAUCUUAAUGAACUAUAACGUGUUGGUGGAUGAAAAGAAUCAUAGCAAUAUAAAUUUUACCGACUCUUAACUACUAUGAAAUUAAGAUUUUGUCUAGUUAGUUCACUAUAGGAUAUACAGUUUAAGAUUGAAAUAUAUUAAGAAAAUGAAUCAACAAUACCCAAAAAUAUGAUGAAAUCAUAAGUAUACCCAAGCGAGAGCAGCCUCCAGAAUUGCUCCGAUCGUCCAGAAUGCUUGGAAAAUAACCAUCCAAGUGCCUCUCUUUGGUGCAGGUAUAAACUCUAGAAACCAGGCUAAGAGUACAGGACCACCUCCCAAACCAAGGCCAACCAAGCAUCGAGAUAUAAUCAAUACAACAUAGUUUGGUGCAAAGGAACUCAGAAAUCCAGAUCCAGAAGUAACUAUUGCUGUGACCAGAAAUCCCUUCCUUCUUCCAUGUUUAUCUGAAACUAAGCCCCAUGAAUAUGCUCCGACCAGCAUACCAAUAAAAACCACACUGGUUAUUAGGCUUUCUUGCUGAGAAGAAAGACCCCAUUCAUGCUGAACUGCUGGUCCUACAAAAGACAGAAGCAUCAUUUCCAUUGCCUCUGAAAUCCAACCCAUGCCAGCAUAAAGAAGCACAAGGUGUUGGAAUUUUCCAAAACCCAGUGCCAAAAGACCUUCAUCAAUGGUAUAUCUUGGGCUUCCAUCUGCUAUCUUAUCUGGGAUGAUAAAUGCGGAUCUAUCUUCUUCCUCCUGUUGCUGUUGUUGUUGCGUAUGAGGCUGAAAGUAAUUAUAUAAACGAUAAGUCAAAUGAUCAAAGAAACCAGCAUAUUUAUUUUUCGAUUGAAUGAUGGUUGGUGGAUCUUGUUGGUUCAUUUUGCAGUUCUUUAGCUAAAUGCUAUUGAAAAUUUUUUGGAAUGAAAACGAACAAAUCUCCAAUUCUGGAUUAUAAAUAUUGAGGCUUUUCUUCAUUUUUAUUUUUCUCCAGACUUCAUGGUCAUGGGCUUUGACACGUCCUUCUCCUUCCCAUAAAGUUUCGUAUCCUAUUUUUGAUUUCCUUGAGAUCCUGCUUCAAGUGCAAGCGGCAAAUUGAAACCACCGUUUUGGC